rnacentral:rRNA from 1 species
UACGGGGGGGGCAAGCGUUGUUCGGAAUUACUGGGCGUAAAGGGCUUGUAGGUGGCCAACUAAGUCAGACGUGAAAUCCCUCGGCUUAACCGGGGAACUGCGUCUGAUACUGGAUGGCUUGAGUGUGGGAGAGGGAUGCGGAAUUCCAGGUGUAGCGGUGAAAUUCGUAGAUAUUCGGAAGAACACCAGUGGCGAAGGCGGCUCACUGGCCCAGUACUGACGCUGAGGUGCGAAAGCGUGGGGAGCAAACAGG